CUGCUCUCUGUGGGGGGCCUGGCUGCUCUCUGUGGGGCCUGGAUGCCCUCUGUGGGGGGCUGGCUGUUCACUAACCCCUCACUGAUGGUGUUAUAAUGAACGCACUGCAGACACAAAGAAGUAUUAAAUAUAAACUAGAGAUGAACCCUGACCCCUGACCCCCCCCCCAGCAGGGAGAGGACCAGAGGCUUCAGGCUCCUUGGGAGUAUUAUGGUCUGUCCUAAUGAGCGCGUGAGCUCCAGCUGUUUGAAAGGAUCCACUUGCUGAGCUCUUUAGUCUUUAGUGAAGUUCUAAUGUUUCACCCUCUUUCACUUCAUCAUAUUAAAGGAUUAUUAAAAUAUUAAACAUGUUUUGGUUUUCAGAAGCGUGUGUGUUUGGGGGCGGAGUCUGAGUGUCCAAUGGAAACGUCGCUCACCUUCACAGCGUCCAAUCAGCAGCCAGAGCAGCAGGUGUGUGUGGUUCAGUCCAGGUCUGCUCUCUGCUGCCCCCGCUGCCUCGCAGGAGAACCGGGUCACAUCAAACACAUCCUGGGUCUGUGACGAGCCAACAGGAAGUCCCCUCCUCCCUCCCACAGCCGUCCAAUCAGAAUCCCCUCCUGCUGGAUGAUGUCAUCUGGCCCCCUGGAAGGACCAAUCAGCUGCUUGUGUCCGAUGUCUUCGCACGUUUCAUCUGAACGUCACGAGAAGCGGGAACGUUCCAAUAUUGGGAGUACUGCUCCUUUAAUGUCAAGCCCCGCCCCCUCUCCCAGCCAAUCACAGAGCUUCCAGCUGCAACCCUGCAGUCUGAUUGGCUCUCCUGACAGCUGUGGAAACUAAAGGUCACUCCAGAGCCUGAAGACCAAUGAGAGCAGCAGAGGUGUUUUAUUUUGAAAAUCCCCCCGCAUGCACUUCCUGUCCGUCUCUGCCCAGGUGGAAGUGAAAUCUGAUUCCACUUCCUGUUCCUCAGGAGACGCUCGUUAAGGACCUUAAAUAUUGAUUACUCUAAGAGUUAACACCCGGUGAAACCAGAGCGUUUCUGUCAGACAGGAAGCAGAUAAAGUUUAAUUGAAGAGUAACCGCUUCCUGUUUAUAUUUUUAUAUCCGUUUUAUAAAUCUGACUGAAUGUAAAGCAGUGACCAAUCACAGCGCAGCGUUUUGUACCGCAACUGAUUUCAAAAUAAAAGUCCCUGACUGAAAAA